UACGUAGGUGGCAAGCGUUGUCCGGAAUUAUUGGGCGUAAAGCGCAUGUAGGCGGCGGUUUAAGUCUGUCGUGAAACUGCGGGGCUCAGCCCCGUAUGGCGAUGGAAACUGGGCCGCUUGAGUGCAGGAGAGGAAAGGGGAACUCCCAGUGUAGCGGUGAAAUGCGUAGAUAUUGGGAAGAACACCGGUGGCGAAGGCGCCUUUCUGGACUGUGUCUGACGCUGAGAUGCGAAAGCCAGGGUAGCGAACG
rnacentral:rRNA from 1 species